GGAGCAGAUGCACGGCGGGGAGAAGAAGAACUCCUGCAGCAUCUGUUCCGA
ensembl:miRNA